GUUUGAUCCUGGCUCAGAACGAACGCUGGCGGCAUGCCUAACACAUGCAAGUCGAACGAACCCUUCGGGGUUAGUGGCGCACGGGUGCGUAACGCGUGGGAACCUGCCUUUAGGUUCGGAAUAACUCAGAGAAAUUUGAGCUAAUACCGGAUAAUGUCUUCGGACCAAAGAUUUAUCGCCUUUAGAUGGGCCCGCGUUAGAUUAGAUAGUUGGUGGGGUAAUGGCCUACCAAGUCGACGAUCUAUAGCUGGUCUGAGAGGAUGAUCAGCCACACUGGGACUGAGACACGGCCCAGACUCCUACGGGAGGCAGCAGUGGGGAAUAUUGGACAAUGGGCGAAAGCCUGAUCCAGCAAUGCCGCGUGAGUGAUGAAGGCCUUAGGGUUGUAAAGCUCUUUUACCAGGGAUGAUAAUGACAGUACCUGGAGAAUAAGCUCCGGCUAACUCCGUGCCAGCAGCCGCGGUAAUACGGAGGGAGCUAGCGUUGUUCGGAAUUACUGGGCGUAAAGCGCGCGUAUGCGGCUAUCCAAGUCAGGGGUGAAAUCCCGGAGCUCAACUCCGGAACUGCCCUUGAAACUAGGUAGCUAGAAUACUGGAGAGGUGAGUGGAAUUCCGAGUGUAGAGGUGAAAUUCGUA
rnacentral:rRNA from 1 species